rnacentral:lncRNA from 1 species
CAUUAAGAAGAACAUAAGAAUAAGUAUUUGUUUAUUGUGUGUUGCAGAGGAAAACAGGAAGCGAUUCAAAAACUCUCCACAUUCUUUAUGCAACCUAAGACGCCCUCUCAGCCUCUACCACGAAACAACAGCCCAGUGUAGGCCAUUACUUUAGUUAUUGUCUACUUCCUUUGAAUCCACUAAAGAUCACUUACCGUAAACGAUAAGAUUACAGGAUAGCAACUAAUCUCUACUUCCUCUUUCCUUAUAUGGCUGUUUGUGCAUCAAGAAUACCAGAGCCCACACCAGAGGAUCCUGACAGCUCAAAUAAAGAAGAAGAAGAUUUAGAUGUGUCAGACCUCCAGAUUCUUCCUCCUCCGGACCUGUAUGCCGACAUCACAGCUGGAGACCCCAUGCCUAUUUACAGCAAGUACGUACACUGAACAUCUUGAGUGAUCUUUUGUGACAACAUGCCCCAAUA